UAUAAUCUGCUCGAAUGUAAAGGUUAUUGGAUAACCGUGGGAAAUCUAGAGCUAAUACAUGUAAUACAGGGUAUGAGCAAUCAUACUCGAUGGCAUUUAUUAAGAAAAUGACCAACCGUAGGUGCAAACUUACGUGGUGAAUCUAGAUAACUGUGCAGAUCGUAUGGCCUUGAGCUGACGACAUUUCGAUUGAAUUUCUGCCCUAUCAACUUUUGUCGGUAGUGUAGUGGACUACCGAGGUUUUUACGGGUGACGGGGGAUCAGGGUUCGAUUCCGGAGAGGGAGCCUGAGAAACGGCUACCACAUCCAAGGAAGGCAGCAGGCGCGCAAAUUACCCAAUCCAGACAAUGGGAGGUGGUGACGAAAAGUACCGGAUGACGAUCAUAGAUUGUCAAUCUGGAAUGGAAUCAAUUUAAGCAAUUGAUUGAGUAACUACUGGAGGGCAAGUCUGGUGCCAGCAGCCGCGGUAAUUCCAGCUCCAGUAGCGUAUCCCAAAGUUGCUGCGCUUAAAACGCUCGUAGUUGGAUCACAAACUAUUCACCGGUGGGUUGUGAGGUUUAUGUCAAAUUUGGCGAGUCAGUUGUGUGUCCUCAUGCAGCUGGUGAGUUGAAUGGUGUAGCUUUAUGCCGUAAGCUGGUGGAUAGUAAUUGCACGUGAGGAUAGGCAUUGACCUUGAGUGAGUUGAUGCUUGUGUCUCACGGAGUGUGCCUUGAGUAAAUCAGAGUGCUUAAAGCAGGCUUUACGCUUGAAUGUUAUAGCAUGGAACGAACAAUCGUGUAUGGUGUAUACUGGCAAUGAUUAGCUGAACAUCGUUUGGCGUCAUCAGUAUACGACACCGACCACCAGUUACGGAUGUUGGUUCCGUAUUGGGGUAUUGAUUAAGAGGAGCAGUUGGGGGCAUUGGUAUUUAGCAGCGAGAGGUGAAAUUCUUGGACCUGCUAACGACUAACAAAUGCGAAGGCAUUUGUCCAGACUGUAUCCGUUAAUCAAGAACGAUAGUGAGAGGUUCGAAGAUGAUCAGAGACCGUCGUAGUUCUCACUGUAAACUAUGCCGACCCGGGAUCAGUUUGGAGCUAUGUUCCAUGCUCGGAGUUGGUCCCCCUGGGAAACCUAAAGUUUUUCGGUUGCGGGGGGAGUAUGGUCGCAAGGCUGAAACUUAAAGGAAUUGACGGAAGGGCACCACCAGGGGUGGAGCCUGCGGCUUAAUUUGACUCAACACGGGACAACUUACCUGGUCCGAACAUCCGAAGGAUACACAGACUGAUAGAUCUUUGUUGAUGGGGUGAUGAGUGGUGCAUGGCCGUUCUUAGUUCGUGGAGUGAUCUGUCAGGCCUAUCCCGGUAACGAACGAGACUACGAUCACCAGUUGACAAACCAGAGAAGGCAGUGGCUGUUAGGUGUUGGCAACAGUGCCUAGCUUAAGCUGUCGUAGGCAUUAUUGACGACCCAUUGCAGAACUUGCUUUCGGGUGGGUAAUGUAGUGGUAGUUGGUAAUCCCUUUGGUUGUGUAGUGUAUUGUUUGACAGUAUAUUGCAUCAUGGUGAGACAGCGGAAUAUAUUACAAAAUUCGAGGAAGUGUAGCUAUAACAGG
rnacentral:rRNA from 1 species